CUGGGAAUCGAACUAAACCAGCGACCUUUUGGUUCACGGUGGAUGCCCAUCCAAAGGAGCCACAUCAGCCAGGGCUAGGCAUGGCUUCCUUUUAUUGGUGGUAUUUAUCUCCUCGUUCAACAAACCUUUGUCAAGGGUCGAUUGUGUGCCAGGCACUGUGCUGGGUGCUGGGGACACAGCCGGGAACCAGACUCAGAGGUCUGCCCUGUGGGGCUGAAGUUCUGAUGGGGGAGACACAUUGAAGAAUGAAAAACUCCCUCCAGAACUUCACAUCCUCAACGUGGAGACGUCCAGGAAGACGUGGAAGCACGCGAAACCUCUAACAGCCACGGGCGGACGUACUGAGCCCUCUGGGCUGUCCAGGGCGAGUGCACCAACACUCUGUGCUGGAUGAACCUGUUUGGGCGAAAAGCUUUGGGCACCUCCUCGUCUAAACUCUGCCACGUGUUUUCCAUUUUCAUUUCUGUUUUGAUCUGUGUAGUGGCUUGAAGGGCAUGCCCAUCCCCUCCCAAGGUAUGUCCACCUGAGACCUGUGACUGUGAGCUGACUUGGAAAAAGGGUUUUGCAGAUGCGAUUGAGGUAAGGAUCUCGAGAUGAAAUCUGGGUUAUCCGAGUGAGCCCUAAGUGCAAUGGUAAGUGUCCUUACGAGAGAAAAGGCAGAGGGUGAUAGAGACAGACACAUGGAGACUGGGCUGAUGCGGCCACAAGCCAGGAACACUUGGAGCCACCGGAGGCUGGAAGAGGCGAGGAAUGACCCUCCCCUAGAGCCUCGGCGGGAGUGUGGCCCUGCUGACACCUUGAUUUUGGAUUUCCAGCCGCCAGAAUAAAUUUCUGUUGUUCUAAGCCACCAAGUUUGUGGUAAUCAGGACACUGAUAUAAUCUAGGGGCCUAUCUUCUCCACCCUGAAGGCAGAGUUUCUCUGGCUUUCAGAUACCAUAUCACAGGAGGAAACGGAGGCUUGGAAAGGGGCUGGAGUCAAAACCGGACCUCGGACCCCCAGAGACUCAUCCGAGAUCCAGGGGUCAUUGUGGAAGCCUGCAGGUGAAGAAACGGAGGCCCAAAGUGCCCAGGCGAUUCCCUGAAGCCACCCAGUGCGAGCUACUCACCGGUGCCAUUUCCUCUGUGUUCCCAUGAUGCUCAGACGUGCUACGUGUGCAGAGGACCCCGCCUCCCUGAACUGGUCCUUUCUCUGGUCUAGACCUGGUAACCUUCCUUGAUACAAUCACGGGAACCACUGCUCUUGGGGAGCCAUAUUGACUACAGGAGAGUCUCUUAGCGCCUCCGCCACGUUGGGGUGAGAGAAGGUUGGGUACCACUGCCUUCCCAGGCCACCUGCCUCUUCACUACAAGGUCCCGCAUGACUGAAAUAAGCAUUGCUGACGUGCUUUUGAAUGUCUGGGGGCAAACGGCAAUUUUGAGGGAGCACGGGCUUUGAAGAUGUACCCACCCACCAGCUCCCGCUGGGCACCAGUCCGGACCGGAGACCCAACAGAGCAGCACAUGCAUUGUGCAAACAUUGACAACACGGCCGUGGUGUCCUCUAAACAUUAAAAGGAACUUUCCCCACCUAAGCCUUGGAUUGCUAUAAUCUACCUGACUGCCACGCUUUAGAGACGUCUUUAAGAGAAGAGAUUUCCAGUGGAAAAUGUUUUCAGCUAGCUUAUUUUAAGAUGCACAAUUGAGCCCUGACCGGUUUGGCUCAGUGGAUAGAGCGUCAGCCUGCAGACUGAAGGGUCCCAGGU